UGGGGAAUAUUGGACAAUGGGCGAAAGCCUGAUCCAGCCAUGCCGCGUGUGUGAAGAAGGCCUUUUGGUUGUAAAGCACUUUAAGUGGGGAGGAAAAGCUUAUGGUUAAUACCCAUAAGCCCUGACGUUACCCACAGAAUAAGCACCGGCUAACUCUGUGCCAGCAGCUGCGGUAAUACAGAGGGUGCAAGCGUUAAUCGGAAUUACUGGGCGUAAAGCGCGCGUAGGUGGUUAUUUAAGUCAGAUGUGAAAGCCCCGGGCUUAACCUGGGAACUGCAUCUGAUACUGGAUAACUAGAGUAGGUGAGAGGGGAGUAGAAUUCCAGGUGUAGCGGUGAAAUGCGUAGAGAUCUGGAGGAAUACCGAUGGCGAAGGCAGCUCCCUGGCAUCAUACUGACACUGAGGUGCGAAAGCGUGGGUAGCAAACAGGAUUAGAUACCCUGGUAGUCCACGCCGUAAACGAUGUCUACCAGUCGUUGGGUCUUUUAAAGACUUAGUGACGCAGUUAACGCAAUAAGUAGACCGCCUGGGGAGUACGGCCGCAAGGUUA
rnacentral:rRNA from 1 species